rnacentral:rRNA from 1 species
AGCGGCGGACGGGUGAGUAAUGCCUGGGAAAUUGCCCUGAUGUGGGGGAUAACCAUUGGAAACGAUGGCUAAUACCGCAUAAUAGCUUCGGCUCAAAGAGGGGGACCUUCGGGCCUCUCGCGUCAGGAUAUGCCCGGGUGGGAUUAGCUAGUUGGUGAGGUAAUGGCUCACCAAGGCGACGAUCUCUAGCUGGUCUGAGAGGAUGAUCAGCCACACUGGAACUGAGACACGGUCCAGACUCCUACGGGAGGCAGCAGUGGGGAAUAUUGCACAAUGGGCGCAAGCCUGAUGCAGCCAUGCCGCGUGUAUGAAGAAGGCCUUCGGGUUGUAAAGUACUUUCAGCAGUGAGGAAGGUGGGUAUGUUAAUAGCAUAUUCAUUUGACGUAGCUGCAGAAGAAGCACCGGCUAACUCCGUGCCAGCAGCCGCGGUAAUACGGAGGGUGCGAGCGUUAAUCGGAAUUACUGGGCGUAAAGCGCAUGCAGGUGGUUUGUUAAGUCAGAUGUGAAAGCCCGGGGCUCAACCUCGGAAUUGCAUUUGAAACUGGCAAA